GUCUGUUUGAUUCUAUAUACAGUCUAGCCUGCCCACUGAAUAAUUUAAAGGCCGCGGUAUACUGACCGUGCGAAGGUAGCGUAAUAAUUAGUCUUUUAAUUGAAGACUGGAAUGAAUGGCUGGACAAGAAGCAUACUGUCUCAACUAUAAACAUUGAAUUUAACUUUUAAGUGAAAAGGCUUAAAUAUACUAGGGGGACGAUAAGACCCUAUAAAACUUUAUAUAUAUAUAAAUAAAUUGUCAAUUAUUUAUACAAAUCAAUUUACUUACCUAUUUAUUUCGUUGGGGCGACGAAAGUAUCUUAAAUAACUACUUUAUUUUUAAACAAUUAUUUCUGAUUUUAUUGAUCCUACUUCUAGAUUUCAAGAAAAAGUUACUUUAGGGAUAACAGCGUCAUUUUUUUUAAGAGUUCAUAUCAACAAAAAAGAUUGCGACCUCGAUGUUGAAUUAAAAUCUCCAUGUAAUGCAGCAGUUACAAAGGAAGGUCUGUUCGACCUUUAAAAUUUUACAUGAUUUGAGUUCAAACCGGUGCAAG
rnacentral:rRNA from 1 species